AACGAACGCUGGCGGCAUGCCUAACACAUGCAAGUCGAACGAGACCUUCGGGUCUUUUGGCGCACGGGUUCGUAACGCGUGGGAACCUUCCCUUAUGUUCGGAAUACCUCCCCGAAUGGGGUGCUAAUACCGGAUAAUGUCUUCGGACCAAAGAUUUAUCGCCUUUGGAUGGGCCCGCGUUGGAUUAGCUAGUUGGUAGGGUAAAAGCAUACCAAGGCGAGGAUCCAUAGCUGGUAUGAGAGAAUGAUCAGCCACACUGGGACUGAGACACGGCCCAGACUCCUACGGGAGGCAGGAGAGGGGAAUAGAGGAAAAUGGGGGAAAGCAUGAAGAAGCAAGGCCGGGAGAGUGAUGAAGGCCGGAGGGAAGUAAAGCUCUAGUAACCGGGAAGAUAAUGACAGUACCGGGAGAAAAAGCACCGGCUAACUACGUG
rnacentral:rRNA from 1 species